AUGUCAAGGUGGAAAGACCCUGCUAGAAAGAAGAUACCACAGAAAGUUCUGAGGCAUUUUCCAUUGGUGCCUAGGCUGAAGAGGAUGUUUCUUUCCAAAAAAGCAUCAGAAGAAGCACAGUGGCACAAGCUAAAGAGGCAACCCAGUGAGAAGGAAAUGAGCCAUCCAGCUAACGGUGAUGCGUGGCAAGAUUUUGAUGAAAAAUAUCCAAAAUUUGCAGAAGAUGCCAGAAACAUGAGGCUUGGCAUUGCCACUGAUGGGUUCAAUCCUUUCGGAAACUUUAACACAACCUAUAGUAUGUGGCCUGUAUUUGUUGUGCCAUACAACCUUCCACCUUGGGCAUGCAUGGAUCAGUCAAAUUUCAUGAUGGCUCUGUUAAUUCCAGGUCCUAAAUCACCUGGCAAGCACUUUGAUGUCUUCCUACAGCCACUUGUUGAAGAUUUACUUGAGCUUUGGAAGGGUGUGCGUACAUAUGAUGCUCGUGAAGGAAAAAUGUUUGAUCUUCAUGCUGCAGUUCUAUGGUGCAUUCAUGAUUACCCAGCUCUGAGCACUCUUUCAGGGCGUACCACAAGAGGCUAUGCUGCAUGUAUUCAUUGUGACAAACACCCUCUUUCCUACGGCCUAAGGCACAAAAUUGGGUAUAUUGGGCAUUAUCGUUUCCUUCCAAAGGGACAUCGUUUGCGAAGAAACAAUGAAUUUGUUGGUCUUCAUGAAUGCAAUGAUGAGCCAGGUAAAUUCUCAAAGGAAGAGCUACAAGCAGAAUUGGAGAAGGUUAGACCUGGGUGA
rnacentral:rRNA from 1 species